rnacentral:rRNA from 1 species
CACGUAGGCGGACUGGAAAGUUGGAGGUGAAAUCCCAGGGCUCAACCUUGGAACUGCCUUCAAAACUAUCAGUCUGGAGUUCGAGAGAGGUGAGUGGAAUUCCGAGUGUAGAGGUGAAAUUCGUAGAUAUUCGGAGGAACACCAGUGGCGAAGGCAGGUCUCUGGGCCGUUACUGACGCUGAGGAGCGAAAGCGUGGGGAGCGAACA